CCUGAUUUAAAAAAACAAAACAAAAAAUCCAUCUUCACCCAGUGAGGUCUCUGUGAAGACUGAACACUGCAGGGUGGGAAAAAGCUUAUAAGGUCUUCCCAUGCCCUGCAAUUUGACUCAAAGCUUCUAUUUUUACAUAUUACAAAUAGGGAGCUGGUAGCUCCUACCUUGUAAUAAACGAACAAAGACCGUAAUUCAGUCUUCCUUAUUCAUUUAUUAGUCUUUCUGGCUAAUGAAUGAAUAGCUGAAAUUCCUGUCUGAAUUUCAGACAAUAGCAAAUGCCCAAGUGUUAAACUGGGCAAGCAGGAGAAUUCUAGCAUGUUAUCUAGUGUGAGCAGAUCACGUGUCCCACACUAAGAUGGCAACGCCUAGGUCCAGGCG